GAUGAACGCUGGCGGCGUGCCUAAUACAUGCAAGUCGAACGAACAGACGAGGAGCUUGCUCCUCUGAAGUUAGCGACGGACGGGUGAGUAACAAGUGGAUAACCCACCUAUAAGACUGGAACAACGUAGAGAAAGCGGAGCUAAUAACGGAUAAUAUAUUGACCCGCAUGGUUCAAUAGUGAAAGAUGGUUUUUCUAUCACUUAUAGACGUAUCCGCGUGGUAUUAGCUAGUUGGUAAGGUAACGGGUUAACAAGGAAACGAUGCGUAGCCGAGCUGAGAGGGUGAUCGGCCACAUUGGAGCUGAGACGGGCACCAGACUCCUACGGGAGGCAGCAGUAGGGAAUCUUCCGCAAUGGGCGGAAGCUUUACGGAGCGACGCCGCGUGAGUGAUGAAGGUCUUCGGAUCGUAAAACUCUGUUUUUAGUGAAGAACAAAUUUGAGUGGAACUGUACACGUCUUGACGGUACCUAAUCAGAAAGCCACGGCUAACUACGUG
rnacentral:rRNA from 1 species